rnacentral:misc_RNA from 1 species
GAUGAAGAACGUAGCGAAAUGAGAUACGUAGUGUGAAUUGCAGAAUUCAGUGAAUCAUCGAAUCUUUGAACGCACAUUGCACCUCUCGGUAUUCCGGGAGGUAUGCCUGUUCGAGCGUCAUUUGUACCCUCAAGCUCUGCUUGGUGUUGGGUGUUUGUUCCGCCUCUGUGUGUGAACUCGCCUCAAAACAAUUGGCAGCCGGCGUACUUGUUUCGGAGCGCAGCACAUUUUGCGAUCCAGAUCAACGUACAGCGGCAUCCAAGAAGCCUUAUUUAACGCUCUUGACCUCGGAUCAGGCAGGGAUACCCGCUGAACUUAAGCAUAUCAAUAAGCGGAGGA